rnacentral:pre_miRNA from 4 species
UCUUCUGGAUGAGCAAAGAAAAUGGUUUCUUGAGAUGGAACCUAUUACCAGUGAAGAUGCAAUGAA